rnacentral:rRNA from 1 species
GAUGAACGCUAGCGGCAGGCUUAAUACAUGCAAGUCGAGGGGUAGCAAGAUUGUAGCAAUACAAUUGUUGACGACCGGCAAACGGGUGCGGAACACGUACACAACCUUCCUACAAGUGGGGAAUAGCCCAGAGAAAUUUGGAUUAAUACCCCGUAACAUAGCGAUGUGGCAUCACAUUGCUAUUAUAGCUUCGGCGCUUGUUGAUGGGUGUGCGGCUGAUUAGAUAGUUGGCGGGGUAACGGCCCACCAAGUCCACGAUCAGUAGCUGAUGUGAGAGCAUGAUCAGCCACACGGGCACUGGGACACGGGCCCGACUCCUACGGGAGGCAGCAGUAAGGAAUAUUGGACAAUGGACGCAAGUCUGAUCCAGCCAUGCCGCGUGAAGGAUUAAGGUCCUCUGGAUUGUAAACUUCUUUUAUAAGGGACGAAAAAAGGUCUUUCUAGAUCGUCUGACGGUACCUUAUGAAUAAGCACCGGCUAACUCCGUGCCAGCAGCCGCGGUAACAC